rnacentral:rRNA from 1 species
AGUGAACGCUGGCGGUAGGCCUAACACGUGCAAGUCGAACGGCAGCACUGAGGAGCUUGCUCCUUGGGUGGCGAGUGGCGGACGGGUGAGGAAUACAUCGGAAUCUACUCUGUCGUGGGGGAUAACAUAGGGAAACUUACGCUAAUACCGCAUACGACCUACGGGUGAAAGCAGGGGAUCUUCGGACCUUGCGCGAUUGAAUGAGCCGAUGUCGGAUUAGCUAGUUGGCGGGGUAAAGGCCCACCAGGGCGACGAUCCGUAGCUGGUCUGAGAGGAUGAUCAGCCACACUGGAACUGAGACACGGUCCAGACUCCUACGGGAGGCAGCAGGUGGGAAUAUUGGACAAUGGGCGCAAGCCUGAUCCAGCCAUACCGCGUGGGUGAAGAAGGCCUUCGGGUUGUAAAGCCCUUUUGUUGGGAAAGAAAUCCAUCUGGUUAAUACCCGGGUGGGAUGACGGUACCCAAAGAAUAAGCACCGGCUAACUUCGUGCCAGCCGCCGCAGUAA